AGCAUUUUUCAGCUGCCUGUUUGCAAAAUUACAGCAGUUGAAUAAACAUCCCUGUCUUUGCCAAUGAAAUGAGGAGAUUCGCAGUACGCUGGUACGCAGGCUGUGCAAAUGUAUUAGCAUGUCUCUCUGUGUGUACCAGAAAACCGUCGUUUUGGUCCAUUUCCUACGGCCUUCCAGAAAGAGAGUAGUCAAGCCCAGCUAAAGACCUUCAUGCUGUCUCAGGCCAGCAAGCUUGGAGCAGAGCUGGAGAGGACAUCAUCUUGCAGGCAUCUCCACACCCACCUAUCUUUGUACCUGCCGCAGUGCUUGGGCCUCCCCCAACUUAUCUCCCAGACUUAUGUUAUUCCUCACUUGGUCCUCACACCCAAUCGGUGCAGCCUGUUUGCAGUACGUCAGCUGUGAAGGAACCGCGGGAGGCGACGACCGUUUUGGACGAGAACCGUUUUUGUAGCCACAACGUACGGGAGAGUGUGUGUGUGUGAGUGGGGGGGGGGUGAAAAAGCGAAAAGUAAAGAUUAUGCGGUGACAGAUGGGGUAUCCGUCACCCUACACCUCUUAAAGCACGGCCAAGGACGCUUCA